AUCUGUGCGCGUGAGUUUAGAAUCGUAUUUAAUUAGGUUUCGCUAUCAAGAUGUGUUUUAAUUGAUUAUUUUAUUACAUUUGUUUUUGAUAUAAGACUGUCUUCAGAGCUUAGCGAUUAUUUUGUUAAUUUAAUUAUGUGUAAAAUAUGUAUUGCGUAAUUUUUGUCAGCUGAAUUUUUUGAUGCAAAGAAUGACGCAAAUAAAGGAAUGCACAUUGAGUGAUAGAGAGAGAUAGAGAGUGGCAAAAUAAUGCGCGCUUGUGAGCGGGAAAUAAUAAGAGAGACACAAAUGAGUGUCUGUGUAAUAAUUCUCAACCGGUUCUAGGGCCGGUUUUAGUGAAUCGCUUAACUCAAGCAGCAACUGAACCUUUGUGCAUCAGCACAGUUGGUCUUGGUCUUUAACGAAGAUUUUAUUUCUCAGGAAUACAUAUAUCAAGAAUGCAGACAUGUGCUCUCAACAUUGCGGCGCAUCAGUUCAGAUUUUGUUGCUGCCAUUCAGAUUCAGAUUCAGUUGUUAUCUGUAAGUCGCCCCGUGUCGUCGAAUGUGCGGAUUGAACGCAUUCACCAUACGCAUCGCUCCCUAUACUAAACCAAGGGUGUUCGGUAUUCUAUUUGAUUGAGGUAAACAAAACAAAGGCGUGCAUUAUAAGAAUAAUAAAAGCCUCUGGGCAUUGCCUGAACAUAUAUGAGUCUCUCGUGUGGCAUAUGCCUAAGAUAAUGUGCGUGCAAUAAAAAACGGUAAAUCGCGUGUAAUUUCAAAUCAUAA
rnacentral:sRNA from 1 species